GGAAAUACAGGCUGGCCUUUAAGAACUGGGACAGCGGCCACUGCAUAGGCCAAAGCCUGGACUCAUGCAAGUCUUGCCCUUCAACCUAGAAAAUGAGAUUUGACCCAGGUUUGCCCUACAGGUCCCAUGUAACACACCCUGGAAGGGAGUUCUGGGGAUCCACCACCAACUUGCUCCCACAUUUCGAUCAGGGUAUCCUGAAAAGAAGAGGGGCUCAGUCUACCACUCUGAGAGACCUGAAGUCAUAAAAGUGGAUCAAGGGAGCCAGACACACAGGGAUGGGCUUGUUUAUCAUCCUGGAGACUACAGAGAAACUUAGAAGCACAAAGAGUCACUUUAGCAGGGGCCGUCAAGAGCCACCUCCAGCUAAUGUUCCAGUCCAGCACAAAGUCAGCCUUCCUUGCAGAUGGUCCUUCUGGAAGGGGUCAGAAAAAGUGAGGAAGAGGAGGAAAGAGAGGGGAAAGAGAUGGGGAAGGCCCCCUUUACAGUGUCUUCCCUGUAAGAUCUCACCAUUCUCCCCCAUCCUGACCUCAGUUU
rnacentral:lncRNA from 1 species